GUCUACGGCCAUGCCACCCUGAACAUGCCUGAUCUCGUCUGAUCUCGGAAGCUAACCAGGAUUGGGCCUGGUUAGUACUUGGAUGGGAGACCACCUAGGAAUACCAGGUGCUGUAGGCA
rnacentral:rRNA from 1 species